rnacentral:rRNA from 1 species
AUAUGACGUGCUUGCACUGAAUUGACGUUGGAUUACCAAUGAGCGGCGGACGGGUGAGUAACACGUGGGCAACCUGCCCUGAAGCGGGGGAUAACAUCUGGAAACAGGUGCUAAUACCGCAUAACAACGAAAACCACAUGGUUUUCGUUUCAAAGAUGGUUUCGGCUAUCACUUCUGGAUGGGCCCGCGGUGCAUUAGCUAGUUGGUAAGGUAACGGCUUACCAAGGGAAUGAUGCAUAACCGAGUUGAGAGACUGAUCGGCCACAAUGGAACUGACACACGGUCCAUACUCCUACGGGAGGCAGCAGUAAGGAAUCUUCCACAAUGGGCGCAAGCCUGAUGGAGCAACACCGCGUGAGUGAAGAAGGCUUUCGGCUCGUAUAGCUCUGUUGUUGGAAAAGAACGUGCGAGAGAGUAACUGUUCUCUCACUGACGGUAUCCAACCAGAAAGUCACGGCUACCUACGUGCCAGCAGCCGCGGUAAUACGUAGGUGGCAAGCGUUAUCCGUAUUUAUUGGGCGUAAAGCGAGCGCAGGCGGUUGCUUAUGUCUGAUGUGAAAUCCUUCGGCUUAACCGAUUAAGGGCAUCAGAAACCCGACUGACUUGAGUGCAUAAGAGGACAGAGGAACUCCGUGUGUAGCG